rnacentral:rRNA from 1 species
UGGGGAAUAUUGCACAAUGGAGGGAACUCUGAUGCAGCGACGCCGCGUGAACGAAGAAGGCUUUCGAGUCGUAAAGUUCUUUUAUAUGGGAAGAUAAUGACGGUACCAUAAGAAAAAGCCCCGGCUAACUACGUGCCAGCAGCCGCGGUAAUACGUAGGGGGCUAGCGCUGUCCGGAAUCACUGGGCGUAAAGGGUUCGCAGGCGGAAAUGCAAGUCAGGUGUAAAAGGCAGUAGCUUAACUACUGUAAGCAUUUGAAACUGCAUAUCUUGAGAAGAGUAGAGGUAAGUGGAAUUUUUAGUGUAGCGGUGAAAUGCGUAGAUAUUAAAAAGAAUACCGGUGGCGAAGGCGACUUACUGGGCUCAUUCUGACGCUGAGGAACGAAAGCGUGGGUAGCAAACAGG